rnacentral:rRNA from 1 species
AGUGAACGCUGGCGGUAGGCCUAACACAUGCAAGUCGAACGGCAGCACAGUAAGAGCUUGCUCUUACGGGUGGCGAGUGGCGGACGGGUGAGGAAUACAUCGGAAUCUACUUUUUCGUGGGGGAUAACGUAGGGAAACUUACGCUAAUACCGCAUACGACCUACGGGUGAAAGCAGGGGAUCUUCGGACCUUGCGCGAUUGAAUGAGCCGAUGUCGGAUUAGCUAGUUGGCGGGGUAAAGGCCCACCAAGGCGACGAUCCGUAGCUGGUCUGAGAGGAUGAUCAGCCACACUGGAACUGAGACACAGUCCAGACUCCUACGGGAGGCAGCGGUGGGGAAUAUUGGACAAUGGGCGCAAGCCUGAGCCAGCCAUACCGCGUGGGUGAAGAAGGCCUUCGGGUUGUAAAGCCCUUUUGUUGGGAAAGAAAAGCAGCAGGUUAAUACCCCGCUGUUCUGACGGUACCAAAAGAAUAAGCACCGGCUAACUUCGU